rnacentral:rRNA from 1 species
AGCGAACGCUGGCGGCAGGCUUAACACAUGCAAGUCGAGCGGGCCCUUCGGGGUCAGCGGCGGACGGGUGAGUAACGCGUGGGAACGUGCCUUCUGGUCUGGAAUAACCCUGGGAAACUAGGGCUAAUACCGGAUACGCCCUUUUGGGGAAGGGUUUACUGCCGGAAGAUCGGCCCGCGUCUGAUUAGCUAGUUGGUGGGGUAACGGCCUACCAAGGCGACGAUCAGUAGCUGGUCUGAGAGGAUGAUCAGCCACACUGGGACUGAGACACGGCCCAGACUCCUACGGGAGGCGAGCAGUGGGGAAUAUUGGACAAUGGGCGCAAGCCUGAUCCAGCCAUGCCGCGUGAGUGAUGAAGGCCUUAGGGUUGUAAAGCUCUUUUAUCCGGGACGAUAAUAGACGGUACCGGAGGAAUAAGCCCCGGCUAACUUCGUG